AAGCAACGCUAGGGGUGCCAGCCUGCGGCCCAUGGGUCGCAGGCCGGCUGAGAGAGUCCCUUUGAACCUGACUGAGGUAAUCCUCGCGCAGGGAAGCUGGUCCGGCGGCCG
rnacentral:ncRNA from 1 species